CCAGGCCGAAUCCUCUGAACCAAGGAGAACCGGGCCGAAUCCUCUGAACCCAGCCGCGGUUGCAGAGCGUGCUCUCUGAAGCCGGCGGAGAGGCGAGAGGCUACUCCGGAAGCAAAGUUGACGGUUCCCGCGUUCUGAAACGAAAAAUUCUUUCCCGGGCAAUUGCUAAUGGCCGCCCAAACCCACUAUUAGGGUUUCUUUGCCUCCACAUCUCCUGCCCCCCCCCCCCUCUCUCCCCCCACUUGAUUCGCCGGGAUUUAGCAAGAAACCCUCCUUCUCUCCACACCCAAGCCAAUGGCAGGGCAAUCCAACCCAGAUCUCUCCGUCUUCUCGGCUCCGGAGGUGGAGUUUCUCGCAGAAGAUGAGAUGGUGGAGAUCGUCCCUAACAUCAGAAUGGAAGCUCUGAACAUGAUCUGUGGUGAUUUCGGCCCAUUUUUCCCACAAAUUGCUAGCAAAGUGCCACUAUGGCUUGCCGUUGCUCUGAAGAAACGUGGCAAGUGCACCAUUCGCACACCGGAAUGGAUGUCAGUUGAGAGGUUGACACAGGUGCUGGAGGCCGAACGAGAGUCCUCUAGGGAAUUUCAGCCACUGCCAUUCCAUUAUGUAGAAAUCUCGAGACUUCUAUUUGACCAUGCUCAUGAUGACAUCCCGGAUUUAUAUAUGGUAAGAUCUUUGAUUGAGGAUAUAAGAGAUGUGAGGUUUCACAAGGUCGAGACUGGUCUAGAGACAAUAUCUGGUCGCACACAUGCAGUGAAGCUCAAAAAUCUUUCUGCCAUGGAAGUGAAUAUAGUGCGUCCAUUCAUGGUUAGAGCCUUGCAAGCUUUUUAUAGGCAUGAUAGCCCACAAAUGAUUCAGCAACCACGGACAAUGGGGGGCAGUCGACCACAGGCGGUAGAUCGUGGCCCACGACGAGAUCUUCGACCUAGGUAGAUUUGCAAGCUUUGCAAGUUUUCCUAUGACCAGUGAUAGGCUUCCAUGCAGCUGAGCAUCUUUAUCAAGAAAAUAGAAUGCACAUACAUCAAUUGGAGAAGAUCAAGUUUAUCAUAAGCAAGCAGAAUUUGCCUUAGUCUGCUUGCUCAACAGGGAUAAAGAAGAUAAUUCCAUCACCUGAGAUCUAACUCCAAAAGGAUGAUUCGCUUUGUUGAAAGAGUUCAUGACUUUUGCAUGUGUUUCCAUUUUUCAUUCAUUAAAGCUGUUUGUCCAUUUCUAUACUAGACUUGCCAAUUGUAAUCACAACUUUGAAACAGUAAUCUGUCCUCACUCGUGUCUAAAUCAAAAGGGUCAUGGGAGUAGAGUGCCCUCAGUAUCAUUACUGAUUUUUCCAGUUCACAUGAGGAACACGUUGCCAU